GAUGAACGCUGGCGGCGUGCUUAACACAUGCAAGUCGAACGGAAAGGCCCAAGCUUGCUUGGGUACUCGAGUGGCGAACGGGUGAGUAACACGUGGGUGAUCUGCCCUGCACUUCGGGAUAAGCCUGGGAAACUGGGUCUAAUACCGGAUAGGACCACAUUUUGGAUGGUGUGGUGGAAAGUUUUUCGGUGUGGGAUGAGCUCGCGGCCUAUCAGCUUGUUGGUGGGGUAAUGGCCUACCAAGGCGUCGACGGGUAGCCGGCCUGAGAGGGUGGACGGCCACAUUAGAACUGAGAUACGGCCCGGACUCCUACGGGAGGCAGCAGUGGGGAAUAUUUCACAAUGGACGCAAGCCUGAUGCAGCGACGCCGCGUGGGGGAUGACGGCCUUCGGGUUGUAAACUCCUAUCGCUAAGUACGAAUCGUUUUUGUGACGGUACCUGGAGAAGAAGCACCGGCUAACUACGUG
rnacentral:rRNA from 1 species